rnacentral:rRNA from 1 species
CCUACGGGUGGCAGCAGUGAGGAAUAUUGGUCAAUGGGCGGAAGCCUGAACCAGCCAAGUAGCGUGCAGGAUGACGGCCCUACGGGUUGUAAACUGCUUUUAUACGGGAAUAACGCGCCUUACGUGUAGGGCUUUUCAUGUACCGUAUGAAUAAGGACCGGCUAAUUCCGUGCCAGCAGCCGCGGUAAUACGGAAGGCCCGAGCGUUAUCCGGAUUCAUUGGGCUUAAAGGGAGCGUAGGCGGGCGUUCAAGUCAGCUGGAAAAUCGCGGGGCUCAACCGCCCCCCGCAGUUGAAACUGGACGCCUUGAGUUCACAACAGGCAGGCGGAAUUCGUGGUGUAGCGGUGAAAUGCAUAGAUAUCACGAGGAACCCCGAUUGCGAAGGCAGCCUGCCGGGGUGCGACUGACGCUGAGGCUCGAAGGUGCGGGUAUCAAACAGGAUUAGAUACCCUUGUAGUC